rnacentral:tRNA from 4 species
UGGGGAAUCGUUCAAUGGUAGGACACCGGACUCUGACUCCGUGAAUCAAGGUUCGAAUCCUUGUUCCCCAGCCA